CCCCAGUAACGGCGAGUGAAGCGGCAAGAGCUCAAAUUUGAAAGCUGACUCCUUCGGGGUCCGCAUUGUAAUUUGCAGAGGAUGCUUCGGGAGCGGUCCCCAUCUAAGUGCCCUGGAACGGGACGUCAUAGAGGGUGAGAAUCCCGUAUGGGAUGGGGUGUCCGCGCCCGUGUGAAGCUCCUUCGACGAGUCGAGUUGUUUGGGAAUGCAGCUCUAAAUGGGUGGUAAAUUUCAUCUAAAGCUAAAUAUUGGCCGGAGACCGAUAGCGCACAAGUAGAGUGAUCGAAAGAUGAAAAGCACUUUGAAAAGAGAGUUAAAAAGCACGUGAAAUUGUUGAAAGGGAAGCGCUUGCGACCAGACUCGCUCGCGGGGUUCAGCCGGCAUUCGUGCCGGUGUACUUCCCCGCGAGCGGGCCAGCGUCGGUUUGGGCGGUCGGUCAAAGGCCCUCGGAAGGUAACGCCCCUAGGGGCGUCUUAUAGCCGAGGGUGCAAUGCGACCUGCCUAGACCGAGGAACGCGCUUCGGCUCGGACGCUGGCAUAAUGGUCGUAAGCGACC
rnacentral:rRNA from 1 species